rnacentral:rRNA from 1 species
UACGUAGGGAGCAAGCGUUGUUCGGAUUUACUGGGCGUAAAGGGCGCGUAGGCGGCAAUUCAAGUCAUCUGUGAAAUCUCCGGGCUUAACUCGGAACGGUCAAGUGAUACUGCUUUGCUAGAGUGCAGAAGGGGCAACCGGAAUUCUUGGUGUAGCGGUGAAAUGCGUAGAUAUCAAGAGGAACACCGGAGGUGAAGACGGGUUGCUGGGCUGACACUGACGCUGAGGCGCGAAAGCUAGGGUAGCAAACGGG